rnacentral:rRNA from 1 species
UACGUAGGGUGCAAGCGUUGUCCGGAAUUAUUGGGCGUAAAGAGCUCGUAGGCGGUCUGUCACGUCGGCUGUGAAACCCGGGGCUCAACCCCGGGCCUGCAGUCGAUACGGGCAGACUAGAGUGCGGUAGGGGAGACUGGAAUUCCUGGUGUAGCGGUGAAAUGCGCAGAUAUCAGGAGGAACACCGGUGGCGAAGGCGGGUCUCUGGGCCGUAACUGACGCUGAGGAGCGAAAGCGUGGGGAGCGAACAGG